CCCUUCGGGGGUACUCGAGUGGCGAACGGGUGAGUAACACGUGAGUAACCUGCCCUUGACUUCGGGAUAACUUCAGGAAACUGGGGCUAAUACCGGAUAGGAAUCCUUGCUGCAUGGUGGGGGUUGGAAAGCUUCGGCGGUUUUGGAUGGACUCGCGGCUUAUCAGCUUGUUGGUGGGGUAGUGGCUUACCAAGGCUUUGACGGGUAGCCGGCCUGAGAGGGCGACCGGCCACAUUGGGACUGAGAUACGGCCCAGACUCCUACGGGAGGCAGCAGUGGGGAAUAUUGCACAAUGGGCGGAAGCCUGAUGCAGCAACGCCGCGUGCGGGAUGACGGCCUUCGGGUUGUAAACCGCUUUCAGCAGGGGCGAAGCUUGUGGUGACGGUACCUGCAGAAGAAGCACCGGCUAACUACGUGCCAGCAGCCGCGGUGAUACGUAGGGUGCGAGCGUUGUCCGGAUUUAUUGGGCGUAAAGAGCUCGUAGGUGGUUGAUUGCGUCGGAAGUGAAAACUUGGGGCUUAACCCUGAGCGUGCUUUCGAUACGGGUUGACUUGAGGAAGGUAGGGGAGAAUGGAAUUCCUGGUGGAGCGGUGGAAUGCGCAGAUAUCAGGAGGAACACCAGUGGCGAAGGCGGUUCUCUGGACCUUUCCUGACGCUGAGGAGCGAAAGCGUGGGGAGCGAACAGGA
rnacentral:rRNA from 1 species